AAAUAGCCCCGAUUGCAGCGGCAUCCUCCCAACUUGAUUGGGAGAUACAGCGGAAAGCGGGAAAAAGC
rnacentral:sRNA from 1 species